GUCACGGUUGCGAAGGUUUCCAGCUGCACCUGGCUGCAGACUGUUGCACCAAGCAGAUGUGGCAUAGCAGCAAGCAAAAAAAAAAUAGCACUUGGUGACGUCCUCCUGGCACACCUCUUGGCUCCCCCUGCCUUCAAGCCCACUUCCCUGCGCUAUAAAAGCCACAAGCCCCCUGCUUCUGCUGGGAGCAGCGUGCCCUGAGGAGCAGCCCUGCCGAGCACAGUUUUCCCUUUGGAAGAAGGCUGGUGGGCUUUGGGAUCAGGAAGAUCCAGACCUGAGGAGAUCACAGGGCCAACACAAAGGCCUGU